AUUGAACGCUGGCGGAAUGCUUUACACAUGCAAGUCGAGCGGCAGCGCGGGGGCAACCUGGCGGCGAGCGGCGAACGGGUGAGUAACACAUCGGAACGUGCCCAGACGUGGGGGAUAGCCCGGCGAAAGCCGGAUUAAUACCGCAUGUGAUCUGAGGAUGAAAGUGGGGGACCGCAAGGCCUCACGCGUUUGGAGCGGCCGAUGGCAGAUUAGGUAGUUGGUGGGGUAAAGGCUUACCAAGCCUGCGAUCUGUAGCUGGUCUGAGAGGAUGAUCAGCCACACUGGGACUGAGACACGGCCCAGACUCCUACGGGAGGCAGCAGUGGGGAAUUUUGGACAAUGGGCGCAAGCCUGAUCCAGCCAUUCCGCGUGCAGGACGAAGGCCUUCGGGUUGGUAACUAGCUUUUGUACGGUAACGAAAGGGACGUCUGGUUAAUACCUGGGGUCGAUAUGACGGUACCGUAAGAAUAAGACACCGGCUAACUACGUGCCAGCAGCCGCGGUAA
rnacentral:rRNA from 1 species